rnacentral:rRNA from 1 species
UACGUAGGGGGCAAGCGUUGUCCGGAUUUAUUGGGCGUAAAGAGCUCGUAGGUGGUUCGGUAAGUCGGAUGUGAAAUCUCCAGGCUACAACCCUGGAGGGGUCAUUCGAUACUGCCGUGACUAGAGUUCGGUAGGGGAGUGUGGAAUUCCUGGUGGGAGCGGUGAAAUGCGCAGAUAUCAGGAGGAACACCAGCGGCGAAGGCGGCGCUCUGGGCCGGUACUGACGCUGAGGAGCGAAAGCGUGGGGAGCAAACAGG